rnacentral:rRNA from 1 species
UACGGAGGGUGCAAGCGUUAAUCGGAAUUACUGGGCGUAAAGCGUGCGCAGGCGGUUUGUUAAGUCUGUUGUGAAAUCCCCGAGCUCAACUUGGGAAUUGCAAUGGAUACUGGCAGGCUGGAGUAUGGUAGAGGAAGGUGGAAUUCCCGGUGUAGCAGUGAAAUGCGUAGAGAUCGGGAGGAACACCAGUGGCGAAGGCGGCCUUCUGGACCAAUACUGACGCUCACGCACGAAAGCGUGGGGAGCAAACAGG